GACGAACCGUGCGAACGUUGUUCGGAAUCACUGGGCUUAAAGGGCGCGUAGGCGGGCAAGCAAGUCCGGGGUGAAAUCUUUCGGCUCAACCGGAAAAGUGCCUUGGAUACUGCUUGUCUCGAGGGAGGUAGGGUUGCUGGAACUUCCGGUGGAGCGGUGAAAUGCGUUGAUAUCGGAAGGAACGCCGGUGGCGAAAGCGAGCAACUGGAUCUCUUCUGACGCUGAGGCGCGAAAGCUAGGGGAGCAAACGGG
rnacentral:rRNA from 1 species